UCCAGGGUGGCCUAGUGGACAUGGCACCUGCCCGGUAAGCAGAAGGUUGUGGGUUCGAUUCCCGCCCCUGGAC
rnacentral:tRNA from 1 species